UACGUAGGGGGCAAGCGUUGUCCGGAUUUAUUGGGCGUAAAGAGCGUGUAGGCGGCCAGAUAGGUCCGUUGUGAAAACUGGAGGCUUAACCUCCAGCUGUCGAUGGAAACCAUCUGGCUAGAGUCCGGAAGAGGAGAGUGGAAUUCCUGGUGUAGCGGUGAAAUGCGCAGAUAUCAGGAGGAACACCGGUGGCGAAGGCGGGUCUCUGGGCCGAUACUGACGCUGAGGAGCGAAAGCGUGGGGAGCGAACAGG
rnacentral:rRNA from 1 species